rnacentral:rRNA from 1 species
GACGAACGCUGGCGGCGUGCCUAAUACAUGCAAGUCGAACGCAGUGGGGACGGGUGAGUAACACGUGGGUAACCUCCCAUCAGAGGGGAUAACACUUGGAAACAGGUGCUAAACCGCUACUGAUGGAUGGACCCGCGGUGCAUUAGGUAGUUGGAGAGGUAACGGCUCACCAAGGCCACGAUGCAUAGACGACCUUAGAGGGCUAGCGUCCAAACUGUGACUGAGACACGGCCCAGACUCCUACGUGCGGCAGCAGUAGUGAAGCUUCGGCAAUGGACGAAAGUCUGACCGUGCAACGCCGCGUGAGUGAAGAAGGUUUUCGGAUCGUAAAACUCUGUUGUUAGAGAAGCGGUAUCUAACCAGAAAGGCACGGCUAACUCCGUGCCAGCAGCCGCGGUAAUUC